rnacentral:rRNA from 1 species
CCUACGGGUGGCAGCAGUGGGGAAUAUUGGGCAAUGGGCGCAAGCCUGACCCAGCAACGCCGCGUGAAGGAAGAAGGCUUUCGGGUUGUAAACUUCUUUUCUGAGGGACGAAGAAAGUGACGGUACCUCAGGAAUAAGCCACGGCGAACUACGUGCCAGCAGCCGCGGUAAUACGUAGGCGGCAAGCGUUAUCCGGAUUGAUUGGGUGUAAAGGGCGUGUAGGCGGGAAUGCAAGUCAGAUGUGAAAACUCAGGGCUCAACCAUGAGCCUGCAGUGGAAACUGUUUUUCUUGAGUGCUGGGGAGGCAGGCGGAAUUCGGGGUGUAGCGGUGAAAUGCGUAGAUAUACGGAGGAACACCAGUGGCGAAGGCAGAUUGCUGGACAGUAACUGACGCUGAGGCGCGAAAGCGUGGGGAGCAAACAGGAUUAGAUACCCUAGUAGUC